GAUAUUGAGAUAAUGAAACAUGGCUCCUAUAGCCUAUCAGGAAAGUUAUGAAAGAUUACGGCUAAUGCGCGUCCGUCUCCAGUAAAGCCGGGAAGAUACUCCAGAUUGGUAUCCUCAUAAAAAGGGAAAACUCUGAGGAGAAGCUUCCGGAACAUGCUUCGAGGUCUUUCAUCUGCAGUGAGACACGUGAGAACCACAAAAUGGACCAUGUGUGCAGGGACCUUUUUCCCCCCUGCAGUCAAAGAAGACAAGAAUCGGCAUCUCUGCUCAGCCCAGUGCGUGCUGCAGUGCAGGCUCCAAACUCACUGCGACACUAAACUGGAUAAGUGAUAAGGAAGAUUUAUGGAUGUACUAAUUACUUAAGGUUUAAGCUGAAGUUUUACUUUUAUUGCAUUCACCAUUUUUGUAUCAUACAAACAUAGGCGGUUCACUUGUAUCAGCGUUUGUCCUUCACCUCUGUUAGCUGUCUCCCUUCAUUCCAAGAAGCUAUAACCACUGCCUGAACUAAGCUACAUUAUUCAUUGUCUUUCAACGGGGAAAAAUGAACGUGCACUCACUUUGUGUUCAGAACAGUACAGACAUUAUUCAUACUUUAAGAUGUACCCACUUAACUUCCGAAUGGAUCGACUUGUGUUAUUUUUAGUUAUGCAUGAGUAGUAAAUAUGUGACUGCAGUGUUUUUCUACUGAAAAAAAUCCAUGCUUAUUUUGUUUCAAACCAGGUCAGAGUAGACACCUCAAAGUCUUAUUUGAAUAGCAAGGGCCAGUCAUAAGCCUAUUUCCAUGAAAUACACUACCUAGAGUGAAGGUCAGUAAUUUGAGUCAUUUCAAGUCGGUAGAUUAAGAAGAGGAAACAAGCCAAAAUUCCUGUCAGUCACACCCUCACAGAAUAUUACACAUGCCCAGGUAGGGGUCUGUGCAGGCAGCACGAAUGAAAUGAUCUCCUUGCGGUUUUGAGGAUAUAACCAUUGACUAAAGAGAGUGACCUGUUCCUUCACGGGCUGGGCACUAAGAAUUUAGGGGUGUGUACUGCAAAUAUUGAAUAAUACUCUCUCACAUGUAAAACGUUAUUGUUCACUUAAUUAUUGA